ensembl:snRNA U2 U2 spliceosomal RNA
AUCGCUUCUCGGCCUUUUGGCUAAGAACAAGUGUAGUUUUUCCUUUGGGGAACUUGUUUUCAUCACUCUUUUUGUUCGGCAAGUAUUGUUCUCUUUCUUUCCUUUCUCCAUAAGGUUUGUAUAACUUCUCCCUCCUAAUAUUUUCACUACCAAAUGGUAGGUGAGAAAAGUU